GUUGAACGCUGGCGGCGUGCCUAAUACAUGCAAGUCGAGCGAACGGACGAGAAAGUUUCUUGUCUGAUUUUAGCGUCGGACGGGGGAGUAACACGUGGAUAACCUACCUAUAAGGCGGGGAUAACUUCGGGAAACCGGAGGUAAUACCGGAUAAUAUUUUGAACCGCAUGGUUCAAAAGUGAAAGACGGUCUUGCUUUCACUUAUAGAUGGAUCCGCUCUGCAUUAGCUAGUUGGUAAGGUAACGGCUUACCAAGGCAACGAUGCAUAGCCGACCUGAGAGGGUGAUCGGCCACACUGGAACUGAGACACGGUCCAGACUCCUACGGGAGGCAGCAGUAGGGAAUCUUGCGCAAUGGGCGAAAGCCUGACGGAGCAACGCCGCGUGAGUGAUGAAGGUCUUCGGAUCGUAAAACUCUGUUAUUAGGGAAGAACAUAUGUGUAAGUAACUGUGCACAUAUUGACGGUACCUAAUCAGAAAGCCACGGCUAACUCCGUG
rnacentral:rRNA from 1 species